CCCUAGACUCGCAGCCUAUCGAACUGGGAACAAGCCCGGCUUUGUUUCAUUUCCUGCACUGAAUGGGGGUGGAAGAGUCUGGAGCCGCAUUGGUUCCGAUAGCGGAGCUGACUGGAAGCCAGAGAAUUUGAAAUUGCUGAAACCCCAGGCAGAAUGGAGACAGCAAGAUGUGAUGGAGAAAAGCCUAUAUGCGGAGGGAAAAAGACAUUCUUACCUUGAGUUAGGGAUGAGAAGUGGCAGCUUAAUACUGAGAACCAGAGAAGCACAAAGAGAGAGGGGAAAAAAAAAAAAAAAAAAAAAGAAGAAAAGAAAAGGUGGUCCAGGUCCAGGCAAAGAAACCAGGCAGAGGCGGAGAACCAAUGCUCUCAACUAGCUGUGAGACACUGAGUGAUGCUAUUCCGUCCCCGGGUCCCAGGCUCCUCAUCUGUAACACGAAGAGCUCAGCUAUGACAAGCGCAUAUUCCCCUGUGCGUUCGCUGUAACUAAUUCAGAGCGACCUGGUGACGCGUGUCGAAGACGUUGCUGAGAUCGCCCCUGAGAUCGGUUGGAAAGGAUACCACGAGUGAUUGGCGAGGUCUGCCACCAACAGAUGAGAGCGAGAAAGAGGGGUAUGCGUGGUGCAAAUUUCCACUCUUGGACUAGAUGAGCCUGUGGUCCCUUCCAGCUCUGAUAUUCUAGUAAGUCUGAAAUUACUUAUUCUCUUCCGACUCUCGUGGAAAAUAUGUGCUGUGUGACAACAGCAGGAGCAGCGCGAGGAAUGUUAGUGCUUCCUGAGGGUGUGUGUGUGUGGGGGGGGGACAUUGUUACCGCUCUGCCCCCGUAGACCACGUCUUGGGAUAGACUUUUCACUAAAUGAAAUUGUAAGCAUUACCUCCAGUUUCAAUGCUAAAAUGGGUACUGGGGACAAAUUGUCUAGAAAGAAAACAAGAAUUAGUAAACACAGCCUUACAAAUGAGCCAUCUGGAGAUUUAUUUACAUAAGAAAAGAGGAAAGCCUUGGUAUUUUCAGGCUGGGGUUUGUUUCUCUAGCAAGUAGCCCCAGGGGAGUAUUUAUCCUGAAGACACAUUGAGCUUUUUAGCAAAGAUUGCUGAAAGCAGGAACGAGGGAUGCUCAUUUGGUUCCUUAGUUGGGGACUGGGUGGGAGAAGAGACAGAGUAGGAGUCACCAAAAAAAAAAAAAAAAGUUUUUGAAUGAAUUUUAGCAGAUGGGAUUUCAAAAUAGUUACAAUGUGCUCACACCCUGGUUUUGAAAUUACACAUUAUCCCCAAAGUGCCAAAUGAGAACAAUUUUCCCAUAACAAGGUCAA
rnacentral:lncRNA from 1 species